rnacentral:rRNA from 1 species
CGGCCCUUACUCUACGGGAGGCAGCAGUGGGGAAUAUUGGACAAUGGACCAAAAGUCUGAUCCAGCAAUUCUGUGUGCACGAAGAAGUUUUUCGGAAUGUAAAGUGCUUUCAGUUGGGACGAAGAAAGUGACGGUACCAACAGAAGAAGGGGCGGCUAAAUACGUGCCAGCAGCCGCGGUAAUACGUAUGCCCCGAGCGUUAUCCGGAUUUAUUGGGCGUAAAGCGCGUCUAGGUGGUUUAAAAAGUCUGAUGUUAAAAUGCGGGGCUCAACUCCGUAUUGCGUUGGAAACUGUUAGACUAGAGUAUUGGAGAGGUGGGCGGAACUACAAGUGUAGAGGUGAAAUUCGUAGAUAUUUGUAGGAAUGCCGAUGGAGAAGUCAGCUCACUGGACAAAUACUGACGCUGAAGCGCGAAAGCGUGGGGAGCAAACAGGAUUAGAUACCCUGGUAGUCCACGCUGUAAACGAUGAUUACUAGGUGUCGGCUGUCAAAGGUCGGCGCCCAAGCAAACGCGAUAAGUAAUCCGCCUGGGGAG